rnacentral:lncRNA from 1 species
UUUUUUUGGCCUGUUUCAGCAAGUUGAAAGUAGUAUUCACCAUUUCACUACAGCACUGCUUUCCUCUAGUGCUUGUGCGGGCACUCGCAGUUGUGUCUGAUGCUUGCUAAUGUACAGAGAAGUUUGAUUUGUGUGGGUGAAGUGGGAGUCGGACCUAGUGGGAAUGGGGCAAUAUAUACCGAUUCCCCCAGCACUACCAAAGCCCCUUAAGUCUACCCUAUGUGGCUGUGGCCCUGAACAAAGUAGGUCUGGGAUGUUUGUGGAGCUAUGAAAUGCAGGUUCACCCACACAGGACAACUCUGGUCUUUUACCCCUUUCUGAAGAGAUUGGUUAUAUCAACUGCCUGGUAAAAACUGAUGAUUGCCCUGGGGUCUGGGGCACCUUUUCAGGUGCUGGGUAUUAUGGCGAGGGGGUUUGGAUUGCAUGGAGGAUUUCCUUUGGAGCAGGCUUUUGAAUGGUCUUAGGGAAAGAGACAAGGUGUCUUUUGAAAAGCAGCUUUACCAGGCCUGCCUGUGCCCUGAAAACGUCUGCACCUGGAAAUUCCACCGCGCACAAGGAGCUGUAAAGUUACAGCCCGGACGCUUGGUGUGCACCUGGAGAGCUGGGAGAGCAGCCAUGUUCCAGAGCCAGAGGCCUGCCUCUGUCCCCCAACACGGAGGGGGCCGUUUUAGCCACAAAAACAUAGACCUACAUGCCAAAUGUCUUCUCAAAAGCAGCCUCCCUCCCUUUAAAAGCCUUUCACGCACUUCUCUCCUACCCCUUCCAUAAAACAAAAUGGAACGUGUAUAAAACAUGUCCUGACCGACUCCAAACUGCCUCCCAGUACAGGGACUAAGUCACCCACCACUAGAAAGAAAAACCCCUAUAGAUGGCUCAUAGUAAACCUGCUUUGAAUUAUCACAGCCAAUGGGACUAGGUCCAAAAUCCUCUUGCACCACCUAGACCCUCCUUCCUCUGCUUGUUCUCCCUGCCCUAGCUACAUUUUUGUGAUUUGAAUGCUUUGCCUUUCCCAGCAAGUGAGCCCAGCCUUUGUGUUGCUGGAGAGUGCAGAGUCCUUCCCAAAGUCUGUGCUGGAGGAAGCAUGGUCCUAUAAGGAUGCUCAAAUGUGCUCAAUGUCAAAUCCAUCCCAAAAGCUUCCCUUAGCAGGCCUGAGGAAGAGUUAGGUGUUACAAUGCCUUAAAAUGGUGGUGGCACCUGGGUACAAUAAAACUGCCCUGCUGCUAAUGUUGGUGGAAGUG